rnacentral:rRNA from 1 species
UUAAGUGACGAUAGCCUAGGAGAUACACCUGUACCCAUGCCGAACACAGCAGUUAAGCCCUAGAACGCCUGAAGUAGUUGGGGGUUGCCCCCUGUUAGAUACGGUAGUCGCUU